rnacentral:lncRNA from 1 species
UAGCAAUCAAUCCUUGUAAUGACUUCAAAUGAUUGUAAUACCAUAUGAAUGUCAUAUCCUUCUUUUUGAAACUUUGUGUAUGUUUCUAAUUCUGUGGUAUCAAACCUUGUGUAUGUUUCUAAUUCUGAUGUGCCAUGGAAAUGUCAUAACAUACUUUAAAUGUUCAAACUUGACAAUGUGCAAUCAUUUUACUAUUUUGCCAACUUAACAAUGCAUAUUAAACAGGGGGAGCACAAUCUGUAAUAACUGCAUUUGAAAGGUCUGAAAUGAAUUCCAAAACAAAGGGGGAGUGAAAUGAAUGCUGAAUUCAUUAAUGGAAAUAACUUGGAAAGGGGGAGCAUAACUUGGAAAUCAUUGAUUGAUUCAUAGUAAAAUGAAUGCUGAAUUCUAAUAGGCCUCGUGUUUUAGACACCUAAGGAAAAUUUGUCCCCUUCAUUGUUGAUGACAAAAAGGGGGAGUAGAAUCAAUAUGGAAUAUAAUGCAAAAUCAAUAUGGAAUAAUGCAAAAUGCAAAAUUUACACUCAUACUUGAAAGUUGAACUAGAAUCACCAAAAUGAAAAGAUAAAAUUGAAGAAUAUUGGCUUUAAGACAAUUGUCCUUCUGGAAAAGAAAGGGGGAGUCAAAAGUAUUUGGUUUUUAAUU